rnacentral:rRNA from 1 species
GACGAACGCUGGCGGCGUGCUUAACACAUGCAAGUCGAACGGAAAGGCCUCUUUCGGGGGGUACUCGAGUGGCGAACGGGUGAGUAACACGUGAGUAACCUGCCCUUGACUUUGGGAUAACUUCAGGAAACUGGGGCUAAUACCGGAUAGGAGCUCCUGCUGCAUGGUGGGGGUUGGAAAGUUUCGGCGGUUGGGGAUGGACUCGCGGCUUAUCAGCUUGUUGGUGGGGUAGUGGCUUACCAAGGCUUUGACGGGUAGCCGGCCUGAGAGGGUGACCGGCCACAUUGGGACUGAGAUACGGCCCAGACUCCUACGGGAGGCAGCAGGGGGGAAUAGUGCACAAUGGGUGGAAGCCUGAUGCAGCAACGCCGUGUGCGGGAUGACGGCCUUCGGGUUGUAAACCGCUUUCGCUCAUGACGAAGCUUUGUGUGACGGUAGUGGGUAAAGAAGCACCGGCUAACUACGUG